rnacentral:rRNA from 1 species
UAAGCGGAGGAAAAGAAACUAACUAGGAUUCCCUUAGUAACGGCGAGUGAACCGGGAUGAGCUCAAAUUUAAAAUCUGGCGUCUUUCAGGCGUCCGAGUUGUAAUCUAUAGAGGCGUUUUCCGCGCCGGACCGCGUCCAAGUCUCUUGGAAUAGAGUAUCAAAGAGGGUGACAAUCCCGUACUUGACGCGAUAACCGGUGCUCUGUGAUACGUUCUCAAUGAGUCGAGUUGUUUGGGAAUGCAGCUCUAAAUGGGUGGUAAAUUCCAUCUAAGGCUAAAUAUUGGCGAGAGACCGAUAGCGAACAAGUACCGUGAGGGAAAGAUGAAAAGCACUUUGGAAAGAGAGUUAAACAGCACGUGAAAUUGUUAAAAGGGAAACGAUUGAAGUCAGUCGUGUGAAAGGUAUUCAGCCGUCUCUGGCGGUGUAUUUGCCUUUCACGGGUCAACAUCAGUUUGAUCCGGAUAGAAAAAGGCGGGAGGAAGGUGGCACCCUCGGGUGUGUUAUAGCCUCCUGUCAUAUGUGCCGGACCAGACUGAGGAACGCAGCUUGCCGCAAGGCCGGGGUUCGCCCACGUACAAGCUUAGGAUGUUGACAUAAUGGCUUUAACCGACCCGUCUUGAAACACG